UACAGAGGAGCCAAGCGUUGUCCGGAUUUACUGGGCGUAAAGCGCACGCAGGCGGUCGCGCGCGUGGGGUGUGAAAUCUGGCCGCUUAACGGCCAGGCGCCAUCCCAUACGGCGCGACUGGAGGCUUGCAGAGGUCGGUGGAAUUCCCGGUGUAGCGGUGAAAUGCGUAGAGAUCGGGAGGAACACCAGAGGCGAAGGCGGCGACCUGGACAGGAACUGACACUCAACUACGAAAGCGUGGGUAGCAAACAGG
rnacentral:rRNA from 1 species